CUACGCCCGAAAAAGGCUGGGAGCGGUUUCCCUUCCAUUGAGCUUUUGUAGCAAGGCAGAUAACAGCUGCUUGCAAAAUCACAGGCAGUCUCUGCUUUUCCACUGAACGUGGGAGCCUGGCUCUUUCCUUCAUCAAGAAGACAAGAGUAAUGAUGCGCUUGAUUCAAGGGGUAGGGGUAGACAUGGCCAGGGAAUAAGAGAAACAAUACAGAGCAGCAAGUAGUUACACAGACUCCUGAAUGUUCUCAGUAACCAUACAUUUCAUGUAAACACCAACCAGAAAAACUGAAAAUAUAUGUACACACUGUAUUUCACAAUAAUUAACAAUGGUCAAGUCCAUCAAUAACGCAAAUGUCCAAGUCUGUUAAGUUCAGUACCCCAACUAAACUUUCUAAAUCUUACGGUUCGGUCCCCAUUUGGGCGCCACUCUGUAGCGUGGUACCUUAUGGGGUUUGGAUGCCAGACAGUUCAAAUUAACAGUCACUUAUAACUUAUAAUUUGGACAUCACUCAGAAUAAGGCUACUCAAUUCUUACAAAAUAAGUUUAUUAUUAUUUAUGCAAUAAACAUAAGAAAAUACAGAUCGUUUCAGUCAUAGAAACCGAAAUAAUGACAACCAAAAAGUUCCCCUAUGUGGGAUUAAUAAAUGCACCCAUAAGGAAACAAGGCUCUAUUCAUGAAAGAAAAUUUUCACACACAAAAGGCAGAAAAAAAAACAUUUAACCCCAAAAUAAUUCUUAACCAAAACAAAAAAGUUGUUCACUUUAAAAGCUGCACUUCAAUGGCGGUGAUUUAGGCGUACGGGAGUUCGUGAACCCGAAAGCAUGGGAAACCGGCAGUCAGAUUCCGCUUAACACUCGGAGUUCUUUACAGACAGUAACAUCCAACGAUUUAAACAUACUGGUUCUCCACAAAAGUAUUAAAGAAAGGAUCUCAAAACCGUGACGUGCCUCCGAACCCUCAAAACUCCGCUCGCUCGUUUAUUCACCUUGGCAGAAUAUUCCCGAAGUGUUCGCCAGCCUCCUGAAUCAAUAUCCACAAGGUUAUAAUCCACAGUAAGAGCAUUAGCAUGGUCCUUGGCAAACGCACACCAUCAGUUCCGCCAUUCCCACCUGGCUCUCAUUUCCGCGUCCCGCUUUCUCUCACCUAGUCACCUGUUCUUUUCAUUGCUUCCUAAGACCCCACCCUUCUCUUCAUCUCUUUUUUUACUUCCGUUAAUUAAAACACCACGGAAUGGAACGGACUUCGCUUCUGCGUCACUAAAUGGUAAAAUGGUAAAUGGCGCACUUAUAUAGCGCUUUUAUCCAAAGUGCUUUACACUGUGUCUCAUUUACCCAUUCACACACCAACGGUAGCAGAGCUGCCAUGCAAGGCGCUAACUUGCCAUCGGGAGCAACUUGGGGUUCAGUGUCUUACCCAAGGACACUUUGGCAUGUGGAGUCAUGCUGGCUGGGAAUCAAACCGCCAACCCUACGAUUGGUGGAUAACCCGCUCUACCACCUGAUCCACAGCCACCCCUGUCACUGUGCAGCUAUCUGUUACAAAUGAAUGGGAAAAUAUCCUUGGCAUCCCUGCAAUUCAAGGAUGUUGUAAUUGGUAAGUUGUGAUGUCAAAAGUAUCUGUACCAAGUUGAUACUAAAAUUUUAAAAAGAAUGAUACGAUAAGUUUUUUUUUCAGUACCGGCAGUACCAAGUAUUCUCCUGCUUUCUGAUUGACUUUCUUUUGUAGGUAUUAAUUAACCGUGAUUUCCACUCAGCCAUCUUACUGGAAUUUGUGUCGGUUAGGAAUAAGACUGAGGAUGGAGUUGUACAGUUUUGUAGUGUGUAUCAUUUGUAAAUAUUGUUAACUUCUUUACCAUAGCCAUGCUGAGGGAGGUGUUGACUAAAUUAGAGAUGGUGCUGGACCAACAAACCACUGAGCUUGCUUCAACUACAGGUGUUCCAGGUGCAGUCUUUGGAUACUGAUGAAGAUUUACUGCCCUGCAAGAUCUUCCUCAACUGCAUAGUCUGGAGCAAAGGAUGCAACAGAGCCCAGAUUGCAAGCAAAAACUGGGCAGAUGUGCUUGACUGCACCUGGCGCAUAUUGAAGAGGGUGAUUGCUAACUCCCUGGCAAAGAACCUCAAUUGGAGGGGAGUCAAUGGAAAGACUUCACUGGCCACUCUCCAACUCGGAGAGGUCGUGAUUGGUAGGUAUAUCUGUUUACAUACAGAAUUAGCUGUCUCUCUCAGAUGAUAUGUAAGGGGUAAUAGCUAGAUGUGCAUUAAACGAUUUUAGUGCAUGAUGUGGAGGAAAAGAACCACUCGUUCAAAUCGUCACCUAGCCAUGGAUUACCCCGCUUAUACCAUGGUCUUUCCACAAUUAAUAACAUUAAAGCUGUCAUUGAUUUUAGAAGCACAAACUUUGAUUAGAAGUUUAAAAUAACCGUUAAUUUCUAUUAGUUAGGUCGUUAGAUCUGGAAUUUUGCCCGAUAUAAAUCAGACACAGAGAUAAAGUAGUGUGAUGAGAUUACAUUUAUUUGAAUGAAUUGACCGAUAUCUAUCAGAGACAGAGAGAUUAAGCAUAUAUGAAUUACCUGCAUCAUGUGCCUCUCAGCAGUCAGUCAGUGCGUUUACAUGGACAACAACAAUCCACUGUUAACCCGAUUAAGACGAUACUUUGAUUAAGAAACUACCAUGUAAACAGCAAUUUUUAAUUACCUUAAUCUGAUUAAAGUCAAGUUACUCGAAGUAAGCACUAAUCGAAUUAAGACAUGUCGAGUACUCCUGUUUUAGUCGCAUUAUCAACGUGUAUUACAGACAUGUAAACACCUGAAUCACAUUAUUAACGUCGUGUGAGUUUUCACCACAUUUUGCGACAGGACACGUACACACACGGCAGUGCUCAACAUUUUACGGCGAACAAGAGAGCACGGCUGCGUCCCAAACCGCAUACUUGCCUACUAUAGGCCUGUAGUGGGGAAAAUACAUCUAUCUCGGCUACUAUGGAGACGCUAAGUGCACGGUUUGGGAUGCAGCUCACGGCUUCAAGCAGUUGUCUAUUUGCACGUACAGCAUGACAAAAAAAUAACUGCGCUUAAAGCGUUCAUAAAAAAAUUAAAUAAAAACACCCAAAACUGUAUACUAUACCAUAACGAAGACGAACUGUAUGUUGAUACGUGAAAUUCUGGAGGGACGUCGGACGGCGUGGCGCGGUGACGUAAUGACGCGGGCUGUUAAUCUAAUUAUGUUCUAUAACAUGUAAAAUGGGAACAUGACAGGAGUAUUCUAAAAGCGACUCAUGUAAACACCUUAAUCACAUUAUUAUCUUACUCAGAGUAAGGUGAAUAAUUAGAUUACUGCUGUCCAUGUAAACAUAGUCAGUGUUGCGCAGCAGUAGUGUAGUAAAACUGAGAGUUGAAUUACUUCACAAACAGUGAUGGUAACACCUCAUUGCUGAGAAAUAUAAUGUAACUUUUCACCAGCAAAGCUAUUUUUUUUGUUAAAGUUGCAGACAGCGCCGGCAAGAAGUGUCUGUGUGUACGAAUGUGUGUUCACGAAUGUCUCUGUGUGCUCGAGUGUAUGUGCGUGUGUGUGUGUAUUUGUGUGUGCAUGUAGGCUGCGCGUUGAUUUAGAAAUGCUCACAGUGAUCAAACUGACUGGAACUACCUGUGCAAUAAACGGUUAUAAUGCACACCUUCCAGCCAAUCAGAAUCCAAUAUUCACACUGACCAUGGUAUAAACGUAAUUAAUGCUUAAGAUUCAUAAUAACCUUACGAUAUGUAUUGCUUUCUUCCAAUGUUCAUAGAAACCUCUUCACGGCUAAAGCUGCAGAGAUGGAGGUUGAGGGGACCAUGAAGAGGUGGCUCCAGCUGGCAUCAGAUCGAGAGUGCGGGCGCAAGAGAAGACUUUUGAAAACUUUUGCAAAAAGAAGCCCUUUCCAGUAGCGGUUAUAUGAUGUUCCGAUCCAUCUUUUCACACUGAGGACAACCGAGGGACUCGUACACGACUAUUCCAAAAGGUGCAAACAUUCACUGAUGCUCAAGAAGGUAACAGCAUGCAUUAAGAGCCUGGCUGUAAACGUUGUAAACAGGAUGAUCAUGUAAAUUUUUUUGUCUUCUGGGAUACUUCUUCUAUGCUGUAUUAACCAUCUUUCUGUAAUAAACCUUUUUCACCUCAGAGGACGAGUCUGCAAGUGUUGUCUAAUUUCCACGACACAACUCAGUUUUUACAUUUUUUAAUUUUAUUUUUAAGAAAAAUAAUUAAAAUUCAAUAACCUUUUGACUGUAUGAGGUACCGGUAAAUGAGAAAAAACAUAGUACUACUUUCAUAAAAUGUCAUGUGCAGCUUGAUGCUAAUUAUAGUAAUGUAUAGUAAUUCUGAGUCUUGAACAGUAAACUCUCAAGUGUCAUUGUCAUGUCACAGCAAACCAGCGACUCCGU